rnacentral:rRNA from 1 species
AUUCCAGCUCCAAUAGCGUAUAUUUAAGUUGUUGCAGUUAAAAAGCUCGUAGUUGGAUUUCGGGCCCAGGUGACCGGUCCGCCGUUUCGGUGUGCACUGGUUAGCUCGGUCUUUCUGCCGGGGACACGCUCCGUCUUAAUUGCCGGACGUGGAGUCGGCGAUGUUACUUUGAAAAAAUUAGAGUGUUCAAAGCAGGCUUACGCUCUGAAUACUAUAGCAUGGAAUAACACGAUAGGACUCCGAGCCUAUUUUGUUGGUCUUCGGGACCGUAGUAAUGAUUAAGAGGGACAGUUGGGGGCAUUCGUAUUACGGUGUCAGAGGUGAAAUUCUUUGAUUUCCGUAAGACGAACUUCUGCGAAAGCAUUUGCCAAGGAUGUUUUCAUCG